UCUUAAUGUGUCAUUCACAUCAGCAGCCAGCAGCAGGUGAAUAGUGUUUGGAGAGGGAACAGGGGCCAGCUAGAUCCCAAUUCCCGACAUGAGAGAAAAGAUACUGACCACGUGGAUCCAGAGACUCCGGCCACAUAGAGCAUGCAGUCUAGGAGAUCUUCUUUUCCCAACUGCCGUAUAACACCAAGGAAGCCGAUGUGGGCCCUUUGGCCACCCCCAGAACCCAACAGUGCCACACGAGGAACAUUGUUCUGGGAAGGAACACAUAGUGUCGGAGCAGAUUUCAAUUGAAAAAUAUAUUUGAAUGAUUCCUUUGUAA